rnacentral:rRNA from 1 species
UACGAAGGGGGCUAGCGUUGCUCGGAAUCACUGGGCGUAAAGCGCACGUGGGCGGAUCUUUAAGUCAGGGGUGAAAUCCCAAGGCUCAACCUUGGAACUGCCUUUGAUACUGGGGAUCUCGAGUCCGGAAGAGGUGAGUGGAACUGCGAGUGUAGAGGUGAAAUUCGUAGAUAUUCGCAAGAACACCAGUGGCGAAGGCGGCUCACUGGUCCGGUACUGACGCUGAGGUGCGAAAGCGUGGGGAGCAAACAGG